rnacentral:tRNA from 1 species
GUAAGUAUAGCUUAUAUAGCUUAAGCGUUGGUUUUGUAAACCAAAGAAGGAUAAUCCUACUUACA